CCUCUCAUAUACUCCAAUUAUUAAUUCCCUCCCCUUCAAAAAUGAAUCGAUUGACAAAACGGUUGUUGAAAGAUCAAGAAGAAGCUGUUGCAAGAAACCGCCGAAGAUCCUUGUUGAUGAAUUUCGCUGUCUUGCAAAUCCAAACCAUGGAGGAGUCUCAAUGGGAGCGGGGAUUUCUUCGGAAGGUCGCGAGUAUAUUGCUAGAGAUCGAGAGAUCAUGGAUCGACGAUUGAAAGCAUUAUAUUUCACAAAUCCAUAUAGAAUAUGGAUGCUACUGGGAGAGCCGGCUUAUCCACUGAACAAAAGUUGACAUGUGCCAUGAGACAGCUUGUUUAUGGCAUAACAACUGAUAUGUGUGAUGAUUAUCUAGACAUUGCAAAAUCAGCUGCAGUCAAGAUUUAAGAGCACUUCACCAAGGCAAUAUGGAAUGUGUACCAUGAGACUUACCUUCGUCGAUCAACACCGGCAGAUUUGCGACAACUACUCGAUAAGGCAGCAGACAGAGGAUUUCCAGACAUAAUUGGGAGACUAGAUUAGAUGCAUUGGCAAUGGAAAAAUUGUCCCGCUGGAUGGGCAGGGCAGUAUACUGGAUAUAAGGGGAAACCAACAAUCAUCUUGGAGGCAGUGGCAUCCUAUGACACUUGGAUUUGACACGUUUUUAUCGGACUUCCAGGUUCUCUUAACGAUAUUAACGUAAUUGGAUGUUCACCUUUGUUUAAUGAUGUUUGGCGUGGUGAAACUCCUCAGGUGAGCUAUGAGGUAGGAGAUACAUUAUAGCCAAUGUUAUUAUCUAGUUGAUGACAUAUAUCCAAAAUGUGGCGCAUUUCAAGUUGCAAUUAGAAACCCAAGGAGUCUGGAAACGCAACAUUUCACAAAGAUGCAGGAAGCAUACCGAAAGGAUGUGGAGAGAGCAUUUGACAUUCUUCAAGCAUAUUGGGCAAUCAUAAGAGGACCAACUCGUGGGUGGAGUAAAGAAAAUCUUCAAUACAUCAUGAUGACGUGUAUUAUCUUGCACAAUAUGAUUGUGGGAGAUGAACACGAUGAAGAUCAAGAAGUGUCAUUUGAUAUAAAUGAUACCCCAACCAAACCAAGGAAGACGCAAAUAUAUGGAAGAUCAAGAGAAGUUGAUAUUGAUGUCUAUCGCAAUCUGAAUUGUCUAAAUCAAUUCUUGUGACGGUACCUGGAGGUUAGAUGUCCAGUGACUAAUAAAAACCUCCAACAAGAUUUAGUUAAUCACCUUGGGACAUGAAGCUACAAGAGGAUCAUAGGAACUAGGGACUUAGAAGUUUAAUUUUGCGCGUUGCUCAAUUAUGAGCAUCCUCGGCGCGUUGCUCAAUUAAUUGACCUUCCUCCCA